CACUUCCACAUGUAUAAGCUUUGUAUGUCCCUCCUUUUUCUGCAUCUUUGUUUCCAAAGGUCGAGAAAGUACGUCUCAUCUUUUUCUUCAAAAUUUCUUGCAUGAGACUGACCAUUGUUUCUUCUUUUUCUUUAGGAGCUUAGGUUGUAUUUCCGAGGGGAGCAUACUUAUUAUUACCUUAAUUGGGUUUGACUUUUGGCUACUGUAUUGCUGUCACAACUUACCUGGGAAAUAGAAAGAGAGUCAUGUUUGAUAAGGUAUUCUGAUUCAGCUGUAUGCUUGCAGAGCAUUUAUUUUUCUAUCCAAGUAUUACUAGACUCUACCAAGUUUUAUAAUGACAUAACAUUAACUUGUUACAGGAUAUGUACCGAGUAAUGAGUAUGUACAGAAGUGUUAGUUCUUGGUUCUUGCAUGGAGGUGAGCAAUUAUGGGUUGCAAACGUUGUUGCUGCCCAUCACCUGGUCCAAUUGAAGCACAACCAGUAGGCUGCCUUGAAUAAAGGAGUUCUCAAAGAUGAUGUCUUUUAGCACGACCAUUUUUAUUGAUUUAGUUUCUGUACAAUUUUGGGGCAUCCAAACUUGGAAAGUUUCACCCUUCAAGUUAAAUUGGGACAAUCCAUUCAUUAAUUUCAGCAAAAAAUAUUGGUACUGUUCUUCCCAUUUUUAUUCACAUUCGUAGAAAU
rnacentral:lncRNA from 1 species